GUGUGGCACAGUGGUCAGAGUGUUGGGCUAGGACCUCAGAAACCAGGGUUCAGAUCCCCACUUGGCCA